GAUGAACGCUGGCGGCGUGCUUAACACAUGCAAGUCGAACGGUGAAGGCGGAGCUUGCUCUGCUGGAUCAGUGGCGAACGGGUGAGUAACACGUGAGCAAUCUGCCCCUGACUCUGGGAUAAGCGCUGGAAACGGCGUCUAAUACUGGAUACGAGCUGCGAAGGCAUCUUCAGCAGCUGGAAAGAAUUUCGGUCAGGGAUGAGCUCGCGGCCUAUCAGCUUGUUGGUGAGGUAAUGGCUCACCAAGGCGUCGACGGGUAGCCGGCCUGAGAGGGUGACCGGCCACACUGGGACUGAGACACGGCCCAGACUCCUACGGGAGGCAGCAGUGGGGAAUAUUGCACAAUGGGCGAAAGCCUGAUGCAGCAACGCCGCGUGAGGGACGACGGCCUUCGGGUUAUAAACCUCUUUUAGCAGGGAAGAAGCGAAAGUGACGGUACCUGCAGAAAAAGCGCCGGCUAACUACGUG
rnacentral:rRNA from 1 species